CGGACGGGUGAGUAGCACGUGGAUAACCUACCUAUAAGACUGGGAUAACUUCGGGAAACCGGAGCUAAUACCGGAUAAUAUUUUGAACCGCAUGGUUCAAAAGUAAAAGACGGUCUUGCUGUCACUUAUAGAUGGAUCCGCGCUGCAUUAGCUAGUUGGUAAGGUAACGGCUUACCAAGGCAACGAUGCAUGGCCGACCUGAGAGGGUGAUCGGCCACACUGGAACUGAGACACGGUCCAG
rnacentral:rRNA from 1 species